ACGGGGUGCAGCAGGCGCGAAAACUUCGCAAUGUGCGAAAGCCCGACGAGGGAAUCCCAAGUGCUGGCUCGUUAGAGUCAGCUGUUUUUAUGUCUAAAAAGCAUAGAGAGUAAGGGCUGGGUAAGACGGGUGCCAGCCGCCGCGGUAAUACCUGCAGCUCGAGUGGGGAUCGUUAUUAUUGGGCCUAAAGCAUCCGUAGCUGGCUAAGUUAGUCCCUUGUUAAAUCCACCGAAUUAAUCGUUGGAUUGCGGGGGAUACUGCUUGGCUAGGGGACAAGAGAGGCAGACGGUAUUUCCGGGGUAGGGGUGAAAUCCUAUAAUCCCGGGAAGACCACCAGUGGCGAAGGCUGUCUGCUAGAACGCGCCCGACGGUGAGGGAUGAAAGCUGGGGGAGCGAACCGGAUUAGAUACCCGGGUAGUCCCAGCUGUAAACGAUGCAAGCUAGGUGUUUGGACGGCCACGUGCCGUUCUAGUGCCGCAGGGAAGCUGUUAAGCCUGCCGCCUGGGGAGUACGAUCGCAAGAUUGAAACUUAAAGGAAUUGGCGGGGGAGCAC
rnacentral:rRNA from 1 species